rnacentral:tRNA from 1 species
GCGCGCUUAGCUCAGCUGGUUCAGAGCGCCUGCCUUACAAGCAGGAGGUCCGUGGUUCGAUCCCGCGAGCGCGCA